rnacentral:rRNA from 1 species
AAUGAACGUUGGCGGCAUGGAUUAGGCAUGCAAGUCGAGCGAGAAGUGUAGCAAUACACGGAAAGCGGCGGAAGGGAGAGUAAUACGUGGGAAUCUGCCCUUAGACCUGGGAUAGCAGCGGGAAACUGCUGGUAAUACCAGAUAAUGUCUAUGGACCAAAGGUGUGAUUCCGUCUAGGGAUGAGCCCACGUCCUAUUAGCUAGUUGGUAGGGUAAUGGCCUACCAAGGCGAUGAUGGGUAGCGGGUGUGAGAGCAUGACCCGCCUCACUGGGACUGCGACACUGCCCAGACACCUACGGGUGGCGGCAGUCGAGAAUCUUCGGCAAUGGGCGCAAGCCUGACCGAGCGAUGCCGCGUGCGGGAUGAAGGCCUUCGGGUUGUAAACCGCUGUCGAGGGGGAGCAACUUCCAUAGAGUUAUCUUUAUGGAUUGAGUGAUCCCUGGAGGAAGGACGGGCUAAGUUCGUGCCAGCCGCCGCAGUAAAAC